AUGCUUCUCCUAAAGACUAAGCCAUGCAUGUCUCCGAAUAGAAGAGCAUUCUCUUUGAAUCUGCGAACGGCUCCGCAUACCAGUUGUAAACUAUAGCGAGUUUGCCCUAGUGUCGGUCGCAAGCCAAUGCUGGGGUAACAGGGAUAACCAUGGUAAUUCUGAGGCUAAUACAUGAACGUAACCCCCGAUUGACCGGGCAACUGGAAGGUCGGGGAGCGUGUGAUCAGGCGCAGAUUUUGCUGGGAAUAGAUGCACGUUCAGACCACCAUAUCAAACGGUUGAGGUGUCCGACCUUAGGGAAGGCGCUUUUUCUGGGUGGCUCUCGCUUUGUGCUUCUGACCUAUCAACUAGAUGGCAGCGCAAGGGACAUGCUAUGGUUACAACGGGUACAGAGGAUAAGGGUUCGAUCCUGGAGAGUGGGCCUGAGAGAUUGCUCACACUUCUAAGGAAGGCAGCAGGCGCGUAACGUUCCCCUUGGGCAUCGCUCGAGGGCGUUAGGGGACAUAUGAAUGCCUGCCUUAUGGUGGGCAAUUCAAAUGGGUCUGUUCUAAACAGCCUCU
rnacentral:rRNA from 1 species